GACGAACGCUGGCGGCGUGCUUAACGCAUGCAAGUCGAACGGAAAGGCCCUGCUUUUGUGGGGUGCUCGAGUGGCGAACGGGUGAGUAACAAGUGAGUAACCUGCCCUUGACUUUGGGAUAACUUCAGGAAACUGGGGCUAAUACCGGAUAGGAGCUCCUGCUGCAUGGUGGGGGUUGGAAAGUUUCGGCGGUUGGGGAUGGACUCGCGGCUUAUCAGCUUGUUGGUGGGGUAGUGGCUUACCAAGGCUUUGACGGGUAGCCGGCCUGAGAGGGUGACCGGCCACAUUGGGACUGAGAUACGGCCCAGACUCCUACGGGAGGCAGCAGUGGGGAAUAUUGCACAAUGGGCGGAAGCCUGAUGCAGCAACGCCGCGUGCGGGAUGACGGCCUUCGGGUUGUAAACCGCUUUCGCCUGUGACGAAGCGUGAGUGACGGUAAUGGGUAAAGAAGCACCGGCUAACUACGUG
rnacentral:rRNA from 1 species